rnacentral:tRNA from 3 species
GCGGGCGUGGCGGAACUGGUAGACGCGCUGGAUUUAGGUUCCAGUGGUGAAAAUCGUGGGGGUUCAAGUCCCUCCGCCCGCACCA